GAUUUCAGCAAGCUUCACAUUUUGGGGGCAGGCAGGGGAAGAAUUCUAGAAGAGAAACAGGAUAUUCUAGUGAGACAAGCCAAUGCUGACUGUUUAAGAGAUUUAGGAUUGAAAUCUGCUUUUGAACUCGCAUUCCGGCGGUCCUCUUUGGUGUUCUCACCAAGGGCAAAAGGACUCAAAUCCUCAGCGGAGGACAGAAGGUGGCCUCUCUUCUGGCAAAACAUGCAAAUCGCCAUUGCUCGCGAGGGUGACCUCCUGACCAAGGAGCGGCUGUGCUGUGGCCUGUCCAUGUUCGAGGUCAUCCUGACCCGCAUUCGGAGCUACCUGCAGGACCCCAUCUGGCGGGGCCCACCGCCCACCAAUGGCGUCAUGCACGUCGAUGAGUGUGUGGAGUUCCACCGGCUGUGGAGCGCCAUGCAGUUCGUGUACUGCAUCCCUGUGGGAACCAACGAGUUCACAGCUGAGUGAGUACCCCCCAGAGAAGGCAGGGUUACCCCCAACCUGCCUGUGCUCCUGCAAGUCAUGGGGCUGCCAGAGUUCAGCCAGAAACGUGGGCAGGGGGUGGGGGUGGUUGGCCAA
rnacentral:sRNA from 1 species